rnacentral:rRNA from 1 species
UACGUAGGCAGCAAGCGUUGUUCGGAGUUACUGGGCGUAAAGAGUGCGUAGGCGGUGCCCUAAGUCUGUUGUGAAAUCUCCCGGCUUAACUGGGAGGGUGCGGUGGAAACUGGGUGCUUGAGAGUGGGAGAGGUUAGCGGAAUUCCUGGUGUAGCGGUGAAAUGCGCAGAUAUCAGGAGGAACACCGGUGGCGAAGGCGGGUCUCUGGGCCGAUACUGACGCUGAGGAGCGAAAGCGUGGGGAGCGAACAGG